GACGAACGCUGGCGGCGUGCUUAACACAUGCAAGUCGAACGGGCCUUGUCCCCUUUUUUUUUGGGGGUGGGGUUAGUGGCGAACGGGUGAGUAACACGUGAGUAACCUGCCCCUCACUUCUGGAUAACCGCUUGAAAGGGUGGCUAAUACGGGGUGUUCUGGCCUGCUCGCAUGGGUGGGUUUGGAAAGAUUCGACCGGUUUUGGUUGUUUUGGUGGGGGAUGGGCUCGCGGCCUAUCAGCUUGUUGGUGGGGUGAUGGCCCGCCAAGGCUUUGACGGGUAGCCGGCCUGAGAGGGUGGGCGGUCACACUGGGACUGAGACACGGCCCAGACUCCUACGGGAGGCAGCAGUGGGGAAUAUUGCACAAUGGGCGCAAGCCUGAUGCAGCGACGCCGCGUGAGGGAUGGAGGCCUUCGGGUUGUGAACCUCUUUCGCCAGUGAAGAAGGUCCUGCUCUUUGUGGUGGGGUUGACGGUAGCUGGGUUAAUGAAGCGCCGGCUAACUACGUG
rnacentral:rRNA from 1 species